UUGGGAAGCGGCUGGGCUUGCCCAGGAACGCCGCUUGCAUCAGCCCCGGCCCAGCUGGCACCGCUCGCAGGCAGGUACGUGCCGUGCUGGCAGGCACGAGCCAGCACGCCAGGGUCGGACCUGGGAGAGACACAGCGGGGACACGGGCAUCCCUGGCACCACAGCACAAGGACCUCCAGGAACGGUGGUACAGGCGGUGACCCCACACAAGCAGCUACCAGGACCCAUCCUCGCUCCCCAGCAUUUCAACCCCAGCAUGCCGCAGCUCUCCAGAACAAAGUACACACUCUACCUCUUCAAACCCACCACCAUCUGUCCGUCCGUCUGAGCGUCGCCGCCAGAGCCGCAGCCCCGCCACUCGGAGCGGCCGCCUCCGAGCAGAUGGUGCCAGGGGAAGAAGGGACAAGCCGCUGCCAUGCAGGGCCUCGCCGGCGGCGGGUCACGGUGGCUCCGGUGGCCCUGACCCCACCAUCCUCCCCAGCACGAUGUCAGGAACAAUGGAAUUGGGAAGUCUGGAGGCUUGAUAAAGCUGUCAGAGGAGCGCGCUCGUGUGGCAGCGGGUGCCAAAAGGCGCCAGUGACACCUUCCCCCAGCCAUGUGCUGGGGAGACCCAGUGACCCCCACUGCCCAUGCAGCAUCUGUCCUCCCCGGGAAGGAAAAACGCACGGUGAUGAGGUACAGGCGGCUCUGCAUCCCUGGCAGAUGAUGGGAUGGGGAUGUGGGUACUGGUUUUUGGUGAUGGGAGCAGCUGCCGUGCUGGCAUCCACACCGCUGGGGGACAUGGCAGACCCCAGCCGGUGCGGUGUCACCCCACACCUGCACUGGGGUGGCUUGGUCUCUCCUCUCCUCUCUGUCAGGAAUGCCACAAGGAGCCCCGCCGUGGUGUCGCAUCCACGGUGACUCACGCAGGCGACAGCACGUUCCCCGUCCCCGCCAGACGCCACUUUAGCACCAGCGUGGAUCCAACAGCCUUCCGCACGGUUUACACAUCACCUGCGAAAAGUGCUGAGCUGACAGCUCAAGAACUUGCAGGGACACUGAUGGGGCCGAGGCUCCCAGGUGCCGUCACCUCCUGCCCUUGGAGACUCCAAAGGCCACCCCAUAGGUGACCCCAGCAAGGGGCAGCCCUUGGGCUCUGCUCCCCAGGGAAGGAGCCUGCAGCUUCACCGGCUGGGGCUCUGCACACCCCCACAUCUCAGCUGUCCCCCAGGCUUGGGGACAUCCUUUGGGAACAAGGCUGGGGACAGGGGGGAGCUGGAGGGCUUUCCCGGUUCCCCCACAAGGCAGAGGAUGCCGCACAGCCCAAAGCCAUGGAGCACAAUUAGCCCUGAGUCCCCCCACUGCGAUGGGGACACCACCACAGGGACACCACGGUGCUGACACCACCACAGGGACACACACACCUCCCCCGCAGAGCCCAGGGGGGACCAGAGCGCCCCUGUGGGGCUGGCAUGGUGCGAGCUAAGCCCGGGACUUGUGACCGGCGCGGCCUCGACACAUGUUCCAAUAAAUAUU